rnacentral:rRNA from 1 species
AGCACCGAUCGCGCUCUGAUUUCCGGCCGUUUUGUCGGAGCUUGGAAGGGGGCCAAGCGGAUGGGAGGGGAGGGGGGCGAGGAAGGAGGUAGCCUGAAGCCGUGAAGGUGGGGUGAGAAGGGGAAGCAGAUGAACCAAGUUUGAUCCAGUGAAGCUGAAGAAACUUGGGGCCAGCAUUUAAGAAGAAUUGGCCCGUAACAGCUGGCAGUUCUUCUACUAUAAGCUCCAGCUCUUGCUAUCCUAAAGGUUAUAGCAAAUUCAGGUCUCAAGACAAAUAGCCUCAUUCUAGUGGAUACGAUCAAGAAAGCGACAGUUUGGUCACACUUGGAUCCGGCCACAAAAUGACUAAUAGAUUUCAUAGAUCUGAGUGAUCAUGAUAUUACUGACUUGAGCAGCAGCGAUGACGAGACUGUUCAGGAGGAUCAUAUUGCAACUCAGCACCGGGCGGCGUCGCUUGAUAGGCAGACUAUGCAUGUCAUGGAUGGUGAAGGAAUCCAAGAUGUGCAGGCUGCGUUUGUUGCAGCUAGUGAAGGAAGGCAAGAUGUGCAGGCUCUGUUUGCUGCAGCUAGUGAAGGAAGACAAGCGGCUGGGGAUUGUGGACAUGCUUUGGAAAUCACCACAUCGUCCUUGGUUACGGAAAAAGAACCUCUUGUUGCAGCUAGUGAAGGAAGCCAAGAUGUGCAAGCUGUGCUUGUUGCAGCUCGUGAAGGAAGCCAAGAUGUGCAGGCUGCGUUUGUUGCAGCUAGUGAAGGAAGCCAAGAUGUGAAGGUUGUGCUUGUUGUAGCUACUGAAGGAAGUCAAGAAGCUGCUAACUCUGGAAAUGGUUUGGAAGCUACAGCAUUGUCUUUGGUUACUGAAAAAGCACCUCUUGAUAUGGCUGAAUCGCACAACUGUCCUCGCUCUCCCACAUCAGCGCCGUUCCCCAGCCCGACUUCUACCGUUCUGAAGGCUCCGACCUUUGAAGGUGGCGAUGCAAAGCUGGUAAGAGGGAAGGUGAAGCGUCCCAGGAAGAACUACCACACUGGUACUCCUAGGACAAGUCCUAGGUUUGAACUGAAGCCUGAAUGUCGGAACGGGCCUCUAGAAGAGCUGCCAGCCGAGGCACUGACCUCUGAAGGUGGCGACGCAGAGCUGGUGAGAGAGAAGAUGCAACAUCCUGGGAAGGAUUACCAUUCCGGCACUCCUGGGACAAGUCCUAGGUUUGAACCGAAGCGUGAAUGUCAUAACGGGCCUGUGAAAGAGCUGCCAGCCGAGGCUCUGACCUCUGAAGGUGGCAACGCAAAGCUGUUGAGAGGGAAGGUCAAGCAUCCUCGGAUGAACUACCAUACCAGCACUCCUAGGAUAAGUCCUAGGUUUGUACCGAAGCUUGAAUGUCAUAACAGGCCUGUGGAAGAGCUGCCAGCCAAGGCUCUGACCUCUGAAGGUGGCAAUGAAGAGCUGGUGAGAGGGAAGCUGAAACAUCCUAGGAAGAACUACCCUGCUGGCACUCCUAGGACAAGUCCUAGGUUUGAACCAAAGCGUGAAUGUCAUAACGGGUCUGUGGAAGAAAUGCCAGCCAAGGUUCUGACCUCUGAAGGUGGUGAUGCUGAGCUGGUGAGAGGGGAAGUGAAACUUUCUAGGAAGAACUACCAUACCGGCACUCCUCGGACAAGUCCUAGGUUUGCAACAAAGCGUGGAUGUCGUAACGGGUCUGUGGAAGAGCUGCCAGCUGAGGUUCUGACCUCUGAUGGUGCUGAUGCAGAGCUGGUUAGGGAGAAGGUGAAACAUGCUAGGAAGGAUUACCAUACUGGCACUCCUAGGACAAGUCCUAGGUUUCAACUGAAGCGUGAACGUCACAAGGGGCCCGUGGAAGAACUGGCAGCCGAUCACAUGAGGUUCCGCACACUAGAAGAAUUAAUUGCCUCUCCUGACAAUGCAGAAUCUGCGAAGACCCCCUCUACCGACUCUCUGAACUAAGGUAGUUGACUGAAUAUGAUGCCCAUGAAACUUUCAAACUGUUGUUGCUCUAGAUUGUCUCAUGCAUGUUUAUGGAACCACCAUUGUUGCAUUAGUAGUGUGGCUGGAGCUCACAAUUUGCCCCAUGUAUCUCAGAAUUAAUAUUCC